GGGCCCGCACAAGCGGUGGAGUAUGUGGUUUAAUUCGAUGCAACGCGAAGAACCUUACCAGGGUUUGACAUCCUGCGAAUUUCUGGGAAACCGGAAAGUGCCUUCGGGAGCGCAGUGACAGGUGGUGCAUGGCUGUCGUCAGCUCGUGUCGUGAGAUGUUGGGUUAAGUCCCGCAACGAGCGCAACCCACGUCUUUAGUUGCCAGCACGUAAUGGUGGGAACUCUAGGGAGACUGCCGGUGACAAACCGGAGGAAGGUGGGACGACGUCAAGUCAUCAUGGCCCUUAUGGCAGGGCUACACACGUGCUACAAUGGCCGGUACAAAGGGCAGCGAAGCCGCAAGGUGGAGCGAAUCUCACAAAACGGUCGU
rnacentral:rRNA from 1 species